rnacentral:rRNA from 1 species
UGGGGAAUAUUGGACAAUGGGCGAAAGCCUGAUCCAGCCAUGCCGCGUGUGUGAAGAAGGUCUUCGGAUUGUAUAGCACUUUAAGUUGGGAGGAAGGGCAGUAAGCGAAUACCUUGCUGUUUCGACGUUACCGACAGAAUAAGCACCGGCUAACUCUGUGCCAGCAGCCGCGGUAUUACAGAGGGUGCAAGCGUUAAUCGGAAUUACUGGGCGUAAAGCGCGCGUAGAUGGUUCGUUAGGUUGAAUGUGAAAGCCCCAGGCUCAACCUGGGAACUGCAUCCAAAACGGGCGAGCUAGAGUAGGGCAGAGAGUGGUGGAAUUUCCUGGGUAGCGGUGAAAUGCGUAGAUAUAGGAAGGAACACCAGUGGCGAAGGCGACCACCUGGGCUAAUACUGACACUAAGGUGCGAAAGCGUGGGGAGCAAGCAGG